AGAUUGAACGCUGGCGGCGUGCUUAACACAUGCAAGUCGAGCGGUAACGCGGGAGCAAUCCUGGCGACGAGCGGCGAACGGGUGAGUAAUGCUUGGGAAUCUGCCCAUUAGUGGGGAACAACCAGCCGAAAGGUUGGCUAAUACCGCAUACGCCCUACGGGGGAAAGCGGGGGAUCGUAAGACCUCGCGCUAAUGGAUGAGCCCAAGUCGGAUUAGCUUGUUGGUAGGGUAACGGCCUACCAAGGCGACAAUCCGUAGCUGGUCUGAGAGGACGACCAGCCACACUGGGACUGAGACACGGCCCAGACUCCUACGGGAGGCAGCAGUAGGGAAUUUUCCACAAUGGGCGAAAGCCUGAUGGAGCAACGCCGCGUGCAGGAUGAAGGCCUUCGGGUCGUAAACUGCUUUAUCUGUGAAGAUUAUGACGGUAGCAGAUGAAUAAGGAUCGGCUAACUCCGUGCCAGCAGCCGC
rnacentral:rRNA from 1 species